rnacentral:rRNA from 1 species
ACGAACGCUGGCGGCGUGCUUAACACAUGCAAGUCGAACGGAAAGGCCCUGCUUUUGUGGGGUGCUCGAGUGGCGAACGGGUGAGUAACACGUGAGUAACCUGCCCUUGACUUUGGGAUAACUUCAGGAAACUGGGGCUAAUACCGGAUAGGAGCUCCUGCUGCAUGGUGGGGGUUGGAAAGUUUCGGCGGUUGGGGAUGGACUCGCGGCUUAUCAGCUUGUUGGUGGGGUAGUGGCUUACCAAGGCUUUGACGGGUAGCCGGCCUGAGAGGGUGACCGGCCACAUUGGGACUGAGAGACGGCCCAGACUCCUACGGGAGGCAGCAGUGGGGAAUAUUGCACAAUGGGCGGAAGCCUGAUGCAGCAACGCCGCGUGCGGGAUGACGGCCUUCGGGUUGUAAACCGCUUUCGCCUGUGACGAAGCGUGAGUGACGGUAAUGGGUAAAGAAGCACCGGCUAACUACGU